rnacentral:rRNA from 1 species
CCUACGGGUGGCAGCAGUGAGGAAUAUUGGGCAAUGGCCGGAAGGCUGAACCAGCCAUGCCGCGUGAAGGGCAGGGACCUAGGGGCGUGAAACUUCUUUGGUGCGGGAGCAAGAAUGGUCACGUGGGGCCAGACGAGAGUACCGGACGAAGAAGCAACGGCUAACUCCGGGCCAGCAGCCGCGGUAAUACGGGGGAUGCAAGCGUUAUCCGGAUUUAUUGGGUUUCAAGGGUGCGUAGGCUGUGAGGUAAGGCAGCGGUGAAAAGCCCCCGCUCAACGGGGGGAAGGGCCAUUGAUACUGCCUUGCUGGCUUGCGGCUGCCGUGGGUGGCAUGUGUUGUGUAGCG